GUGAGGAAUUUUCCGCAAUGGGCGAAAGCCUGACGGAGCAAUGCCGCGUGAAGGAUGAAGGCCUAUGGGUUGUAAACUUCUUUUCUCAGAAAAGAAUUAUGACGGUAUCUGAGGAAUAAGCAUCGGCUAACUCUGUGCCAGCAGCCGCGGUAAGACAGAGGAUGCAAGCGUUAUCCGGAAUGAUUGGGCGUAAAGCGUCUGUAGGUUGUUUAAAAAGUAUUCUGUCAAAGAUUAGGGCUUAACCCUAGAUAGGCAGAAUAAACUUUUAAGCUAGAGUUUGGUAGAGGCAGAGGGAAUUCCCGGUGGAGCGAUGAAAUGCGUAGAUAUCGGGAGGAACACCAAAGGCGAAGGCACUCUGCUGGGCCAAUACUAACACUGAGAGACGAAAGCGAGGGGAGCAAAUGGGAUUAGAUACCCUGGUAGUCC
rnacentral:rRNA from 1 species